rnacentral:rRNA from 1 species
UGGGGAAUAUUGGACAAUGGGCGAAAGCCUGAUCCAGCAAUGCCGCGUGAGUGAUGAAGGCCUUAGGGUUGUAAAGCUCUUUUACCAGGGAUGAUAAUGACAGUACCUGGAGAAUAAGCUCCGGCUAACUCCGUGCCAGCAGCCGCGGUAAUACGGAGGGAGCUAGCGUUGUUCGGAAAUACUGGGCGUAAAGCGAACGUAGGCGGUCUAUUAAGUCAGGGGUGAAAUCCCGGAGCUCAACUCCGGAACUGCCCUUGAAACUGCUAGACUAGAAUCCUGGAGAGGUCAGUGGAAUUCCGAGUGUAGAGGUGAAAUUCGUAGAUAUUCGGAAGAACACCAGUGGCGAAGGCGACUGACUGGACAGGUAUUGACGCUGAGGUUCGAAAGCGUGGGGAGCAAACAGG